UCCUCCCUCUGGCGGCGUGCUUAACACAUGCAAGUCGAACGGAAAGGCCCUGCUUUUGUGGGGUGCUCGAGUGGCGAACGGGUGAGUAACACGUGAGUAACCUGCCCUUGACUUUGGGAUAACUUCAGGAAACUGGGGCUAAUACCGGAUAGGAGCUCCUGCUGCAUGGUGGGGGUUGGAAAGUUUCGGCGGUUGGGGAUGGACUCGCGGCUUAUCAGCUUGUUGGUGGGUAGUGGCUUACCAAGGCUUUGACGGGUAGCCGGCCUGAGAGGGUGACCGGCCACAUUGGGACUGAGAUACGGCCCAGACUCCUACGGGAGGCAGCAGUGGGGAAUAUUGCACAAUGGGCGGAAGCCUGAUGCAGCAACGCCGCGUGCGGGAUGACGGCCUUCGGGUUGUAAACCGCUUUCGCCUGUGACGAAGCGUGAGUGACGGUAAUGGGUAAAGAAGCACCGGCUAACUACGUG
rnacentral:rRNA from 1 species